AAUGAACGCUGGCGGCGUGCUUAACACAUGCAAGUCGAGCGAGAAAAUCCCUUCGGGGAUGAGUAAAGCGGCGGACGGGUGAGUAACACGUGAGGACCUGCCCUAGAGUGAAGGAUACCCUUGAGAAAUUGAGGUUAAUACUGCAUACGUCCCUUCGGGGAGAAAGAUGGCUUUUAUGCUGUCGCUUUAGGAUGGACUCGCGGGCUAUUAGCUAGUUGGUGGGGUAAAGGCCUACCAAGGCGAUGAUGGCUAGCCGGCCUGAGAGGGUGAACGGCCACACUGGAACUGAGAUACGGUCCAGACUCCUACGGGAGGCAGCAGUGAGGAAUAUUGCGCAAUGGGCGAAAGCCUGACGCAGCGACGCCGCGUGGGGGAUGAAGGUCUUAGGAUUGUAAACUCCUGUUAAGUGAGAAGAAAGGCCCAUCUCUAAUAAAGAUGGGAGAUGACGUUAUCACUAGAGAAAGCACCGGCUAACUUCGUGCCAGCAGCCG
rnacentral:rRNA from 1 species